rnacentral:rRNA from 1 species
GUGGGGAAUUUUGGACAAUGGGCGAAAGCCUGAUCCAGCAAUGCCGCGUGUGUGAAGAAGGCCUUCGGGUUGUAAAGCACUUUUGUCCGGAAAGAAAUGGCUCUGGUUAAUACCUGGGGUCGAUGACGGUACCGGAAGAAUAAGGACCGGCUAACUACGUGCCAGCAGCCGCGGUAAUACGUAGGGUCCAAGCGUUAAUCGGAAUUACUGGGCGUAAAGCGUGCGCAGGCGGUUGUGCAAGACCGAUGUGAAAUCCCCGAGCUUAACUUGGGAAUUGCAUUGGUGACUGCACGGCUAGAGUGUGUCAGAGGGGGGUAGAAUUCCACGUGUAGCAGUGAAAUGCGUAGAGAUGUGGAGGAAUACCGAUGGCGAAGGCAGCCCCCUGGGAUAACACUGACGCUCAUGCACGAAAGCGUGGGGAGCAAACAGG